rnacentral:rRNA from 1 species
AUUGAACGCUGGCGGCAUGCUUUACACAUGCAAGUCGAACGGCAGCGCGGGCUUCGGCCUGGCGGUGAGUGGCGAACGGGUGAGUAAUACAUCGGAACGUGCCCAGUAGUGGGGGAUAGCUCGGCGAAAGCCGGAUUAAUACCGCAUACGACCUGAGGGGGAAAGCGGGGGAUCUUCGGACCUCGCGCUAUUGGAGCGGCCGAUGGCAGAUUAGCUAGUUGGUGGGGUAAAGGCCUACCAAGGCGACGAUCUGUAGCUGGUCUGAGAGGACGACCAGCCACACUGGGACUGAGACACGGCCCAGACUCCUACGGGAGGCAGCAGUGGGGAAUUUUGGACAAUGGGCGAAAGCCUGAUCCAGCAAUGCCGCGUGUGUGAUGAAGGCCUUCGGGUUGUAAAGCACUUUUGGCGGGAACGAAAAGCACUGUGCCAAUACCACGGUUCGAUGACGGUACCCGCAGAAUAAGCACCGGCUAACUACGUG